UUAAUGAGUUACUCUUUGAAAUAUAUAAUAAGGAUUAGUCUCAUGCUUUAAAUAAAAAGAAGAGUUAAGUGCGUCUUCCACUAAAGCCUCCGAGCGCAGACCGAAGCCGUCUCGCUCGACCAAUUCCCGACUCUGGGAGCCAAACCAUGGCCUUAUCCUUGUUCUGCUCCUCCUCGUCCGCCGCUUUCACUGUCGUGGCCUGCCCUGCGCGGUCGCCGCUGCCUCGAAGAUUGCCGCCUGCCGUGUGCUUCGCCCGCGCGGUUGAUACCGCGCCACGCGCCACCUUGCCCUGCGCUACUUCUGCUUACCCUCCGCAACCCUUCGUCCCUGAGGUGGCUGAAGCAGUGGAGUCCUUGUAUUCCGAGUUCAGAGAGGUCGACAAUUUGGUGGCGCACAACUCUAUGCGGGUUCUGAAAGCUUUUCAGAACGCUGGAGUUGGAUCUCAUCAUUUCAAUGGAUGCACUGGCUAUGGUCAUGAUGAUGGUGGGGGCCGUGAAGCACUUGACUCUGUUUUUGCUGAAAUUGUUGGGGCAGAAUCAGCAAUAGUCCGUUCUCAGUUUUUCUCUGGCACACAUGCUAUUGCUUGUGCUUUGUUUGCUUUUCUGAGGCCUGGGAAUGAGCUUUUAGCAGUUGCUGGAACUCCUUAUGACACCUUAGAGGAAGUAAUUGGGAUUAGAGAAUCAUCCAUCACUGGAUCUCUGAAAGAUUUUGGAGUGACAUACCAUGAAGUUCCACUUGCAGAAGAUGGGGGCCUCGACUGGGAUGCUCUUUCAUUUGCUGUGAGACCCCACACGAAAUGUGCCUUAAUACAGAGGUCAUGCGGCUAUUCUUGGCGCCGAAGCUUGAGCAUUGCAGAUAUUGAAAGAGCUAUUAGAGUGAUAAAGGCAUACUCUUGGAUGUGUUUAAUCACACAUCCCUGCUAUAUGUGCAUUUGGUGUUAGUUACUGGUAAACUGUUGUUUUGUGAAAUUCUGCAGAUGCAGAAACCAGAUUGCAUGGUCAUGGUGGAUAACUGCUAUGGUGAAUUUGUGGAAACAUAUGAGCCUCCUAUGGUGGGAGCUGAUUUAAUUGCUGGGAGCUUGAUAAAGAAUCCUGGUGGAACGAUUGCACCUUGUGGUGGGUAUG